rnacentral:rRNA from 1 species
GUCCCAGUUCGGACUGCAGGCUGCAACUCGCCUGCACGAAGCCGGAGUUGCUAGUAAUCGCGGAUCAGAAUGCCGCGGUGAAUGCGUUCCCGGGUCUUGUACACACCGCCCGUCACACCAUGGAAGUUGGGGGUGCCCAAAGCCGGCAGGGAAAUAUGCUGUCUAAGGCAAAACCAAUGACUGGGGUGAAGUCGUAACAAGGUAAC